rnacentral:rRNA from 1 species
UACGUAGGGUGCAAGCGUUAUCCGGAAUUAUUGGGCGUAAAGAGCUCGUAGGCGGUUUGUCGCGUCUGCCGUGAAAGUCCGGGGCUCAACUCCGGAUCUGCGGUGGGUACGGGCAGACUAGAGUGCAGUAGGGGAGACUGGAAUUCCUGGUGUAGCGGUGAAAUGCGCAGAUAUCAGGAGGAACACCGGUGGCGAAGGCGGGUCUCUGGGCAACAACUGACGCUGAGGAGCGAAAGCGUGGGGAGCGAACAGG